GGAAAAGCGUCGCCGCCGAUCCGAAGCGUAAGGGGGGCGUCGGGAAGGACGAUGGGGGGCUAGGGGGAGGACGCGCACAAAAAGGACCCAAAGAGUGAGAGUUGUCACGCACACGGUUUGAUUGGGCUGCCGCUGCUUGCAUGCUGCUGAUCGAUAUUGAGAGAUUCGCCCUCAUCUCGUCUGGUUCGCGCGCAGUGGCGCCACUGAAGGGGCGCCCUUUGUAGAUAUUCUUGUUUUCGAGAGAUCGCUACCGGUCAGUGGUCGAGAAGGUCUUACAUUUGGAAGAAAAAAAUUGUUAUGACGUCUGUAAACAACCAUAUGCUGGGGUCGCGAGAACAACCCACCAAAUUUGCUUAAUUCACACAUCUCGCAUGAAAAUUAAUAAUUUGUUUCCAGGGAACAAAUUGUACAUUUCAAAUUGCCAGUGGCCCCCGCGGGGGGGUUGUGUGUACGUCGUCUUAGGGGCGAUAAAUCAUCCCGCUCUCUCGAGCAUGCAACGGCGCGGAGGGAGAGGGAGGAAAAACCCGAGACGUCCGGCAUGAUUGCCGCGAGAUCGAACCUUGGGGAGCCGGGGAGAUUGAACGCACCAGGGCCUUCAUCCACCCCUCGCCCCUUAUCCCAGGCAUUCUGAGAAAGCCACCCCUCGACCCCCGCAGAAAUAAGUGUAGCCGCAAGAAACGGCGUCCGGCCGUACGCAGCAAGAAGACAGACGGAACGCUAAACGUUCUUUAAACGGCUCCUUUUUGAUUAAAACUUGGUGCUUCGACCUUUCGAGUUUAAACCGUGGCAUUUGCAGAGUUGAGGCUCGACAAAAGCUUCUCCAUUAUGGAUAUUCCUGCGAGAGAUAUGACGACCCGGAGGCGGUGCGCCCGCCUCCGGCAAACCGGAAAUGGAAACCGCCUCAUUGACUUGGAAACGAGGCAUAUAUCUCACGUUGGAAACGGCCGUCGUCUUCCUUUCUAAUAAUCCUGGAUUUUUCUCCGGGAUGCCGGACGAAUAAGUACGAAGCGGAAAGUUUACCGCACCCAUUCACCCCCUCGCGGGGACACAAUAUGAAAGUUUUGUCCGAUUGCCGGGGCGCGGCGGCGGCAGCGGUGACGCCACUCGUUGAAGGGGAGGGAGGGUCUUGAUGUCCCCCCGCUCCCCUAGCACCCGAACGACUAAUGAAUUGGAUGUGUAUUCGACAAUGUCAACAUGGGAGAACCGAAGAAGUCACAAUCUAAUCCCGCGGGCUGAUUGGCUUUUGGUCCACCGUUUUUCAAUUGAGAGGGGGGUCAGCUAGAGUUUACCUUUGAAGUUUACUUUGCCGGGGUAGUCCAGUCAACAACAAAAUAAAGAAGUUAAGAUGGAGUAUGUGACAAGAGACAAAACACGACACAACAAAAAAGGCAGUUAAAAGGAAACGUAAGAAGACCACAAGAUGGGGCCGAAGUUAUCUUCGGAAAAGGAUAAAACUUAACGAGAAGUUCGAAACCUGCAAAAGGACGGGGUACUGUGUUAUCCUCCAAUAGAGGAAGAAGAAUUAUAAUAAAAAGAAGACAACACAACAAUUACGAAUGACUAUUUGGCUUUAUGUAAGAUAAGGUUGUUGCUGACCCACCACUACGGUCGGUUGUUGUGGUAGUCCAUAGAAGAAAAACUCAACCUAUUCCACAUUCGAUCUUAAGUAAAUGGAACCAAAUAUUUGGCAGCCUCAUUUGUCAACAGGAAUACUCCCUUCGCGCAUUAUUUGGGUUCAA